rnacentral:tRNA from 1 species
GGUUAUGGCUCAGUGGUACAGUGCUUGCCUCACAUGUGUGAGGCACUGGGUUUGAUUCUCAGCACCA